rnacentral:rRNA from 1 species
AGCGAACGCUGGCGGCAGGCUUAACACAUGCAAGUCGAGCGGGCAUCUUCGGAUGUCAGCGGCAGACGGGUGAGUAACACGUGGGAACGUACCCUUCGGUUCGGAACAACUCUGGGAAACUGGAGCUAAUACCGGAUACGCCCUUAUGGGGAAAGGUUUACUGCCGAAGGAUCGGCCCGCGUCUGAUUAGCUAGUUGGUGGGGUAACGGCCUACCAAGGCGACGAUCAGUAGCUGGUCUGAGGGGAUGAUCAGCCACACUGGGACUGAGACACGGCCCAGACUCCUACGGGAGGCAGCAGUGGGGAAUAUUGGACAAUGGGCGCAAGCCUGAUCCAGCCAUGCCGCGUGAGUGAUGAAGGCCUUAGGGUUGUAAAGCUCUUUUGUCCGGGACGAUAAUGACGGUACCGGAAGAAUAAGCCCCGGCUAACUUCGUG